UAGGGAAUUUUCGUCAAUGGGCGCAAGCCUGAACGAGCAAUGCCGCGUGAGUGAGGAAGGCCUUCGGGUCGUAAAGCUCUGUUGCGAGGGGAAAAGGAACGGAAGAGGAAAUGAUUCCGUUUUGAUGGUACCUCGCCAGAAAGUCACGGCUAACUACGUGCCAGCAGCCGCGGUAAUACGUAGGUGGCAAGCGUUAUCCGGAAUGAUUGGGCGUAAAGGGUGCGCAGGCGGCAUAUCAAGUCUGAAGUGAAAGGUACGGGCUCAACCUGUACAGGCUUUGGAAACUGGUAUGCUCGAGGACAGGAGAGGGCGGUGGAACUCCACGUGUAGCGGUAAAAUGCGUAGAGAUGUGGAAGAACACCAGUGGCGAAGGCGGCCGCCUUGGCCUUGUAACUGACGCUCAGGCACGAAAGC
rnacentral:rRNA from 1 species